CAGGGGGGCAUGCGUUGUUCGGAAUUACUGGGCGUAAAGGGCUCGUAGGCGGCCAACUAAGUCACACGUGAAAUCCCCAGGCUUAACCUGGGAACUGCGUGUGAUACUGGAUGGCUUGAAUUCGGGAGAGGGAUGCAGAAUUCCAGGUGUAGCGGUGAAAUGCGUAGAUAUCUGGAGGAAUACCGGUGGCGAAGGCGGCAUCCUGGACCGACAUUGACGCUGAGGAGCGAAAGCUAGGGGAGCAAACGGGAUUAGAUACCCCGGUAGUCCUAGCCCUAAACGAUGAAUGCUUGGUGUGGCGGGUAUCGAUCCCUGCCGUGCCGAAGCUAACGCAUUAAGCAUUCCGCCUGGGGAGUACGGUCGCAAGGCUG
rnacentral:rRNA from 1 species